rnacentral:rRNA from 1 species
AAAAAGGCGGCGUAAAGCUGUCGCUAUGGGGAUGGCCCCCGCGGUGCAUUAGCUAGUUGGUAAGGUAAAGGCUUACCAAGGCGAUGAUGCAUAGCCCGAGUUGAGAGACUGAUCGGCCACAUUGGGGACUGAGACACGGCCCAAAAACUCCUACGGGGAGGCAGCAGUAGGGAAUCUUCCACAAUGGACGCAAGUCUGAUGGAGCAACGCCGCGUGAGUGAAGAAGGUUUUCGGAUCGUAAAGCUCUGUUGUUGGUGAAGAAGGAUAGAGGUAGUAACUGGCCUUUACUUGACGGUAAUCAACCAGAAAGUCACGGCUAACUACGUGCCAGCAGCCGCGGGUAAU